UGGGGAAUCUUGGACAAUGGGCGCAAGCCUGAUCCAGCCAUGCCGCGUGGAUGAUGAAGGCCUUAGGGUUGUAAAAUCCUUUCGCCGAGGACGAUAAUGACGGUACUCGGAGAAGAAGCUCCGGCUAACUUCGUGCCAGCAGCCGCGGUAAUACGAAGGGGGCUAGCGUUGUUCGGAUUUACUGGGCGUAAAGCGCGUGUAGGCGGGUUGGAAAGUUGGGGGUGAAAUCCCGAGGCUCAACCUCGGAACUGCCUCCAAAACUUCCAGCCUGGACUCAAGUAGAGGCAAGUGGAAUUGCGAGUGUAGAGGUGAAAUUCGUAGAUAUUCGCAGGAACACCAGUGGCGAAGGCGACUUGCUGGACUUGUAGUGACGCUGAGACGCGAAAGCGUGGGGAGCAAACAGGAUUAGAUACCCUAGUAGUCCCUGAGCGGGCUGGCAAGGCGC
rnacentral:rRNA from 1 species